UUUCGUCUACAUUAGACUCAUCAGUGACGCUCAUAUCAAAAUAUUUAUAAAGCCAAACAAGUACAAAGUUGAAGAGCAUUGAGGAUCCAAAAUUCCAAAAAGUUGUGCCAAAUACGGCUAAGGUAAUCUAUACCUGGGAUAAGAAAAUCCUUAGUUUUUUCGAAAAAUUCAAAGUUUUGUAAACAGGAAAUUUAUAAAAAUGACC
rnacentral:lncRNA from 1 species